UCGAGUUAAAGUAGAGACAGAUGUUACCCAACUAGUAUUGAUACUGAUGGAUAUUGAUGCACUCAUGGAUAUUGAUAGACCCUGGUAUUCACUGGAUACCACCGCCAGUAACAGGCAGUCAGUUCAGAACAAUCUCAUCCAGAUACAGAACAGAGGCUCCAAGAGCCCAGCAGUCGUCGCCCCUAGUGGCCAGUCUAUGGACGUGGACGUAGCCGGCAACAGUCAAGUAGCAAUUGGUACCUGCAGCACAUAUGUGAAGCCACUGCCCAACCAGCACUCUGAGGCCAGAUCAUACAUUAAACCUGCUCAGGGGAACUUUAUUGAUAAGGACAGUGGCGGACAGUUGAGCCUGGCUGCAAAAAGCCCUGGCCAUGCCACCUCAACCAUCCACCAGUGUCCUGACGCUAGAUCAAACAUACAACCUGCUGUAGGGACCUUCAGGAACGAGGACAGCGCGAUGCAGUGGAGCCAUGACCAGGUCCCCUCCACCAGCGUCCUGGACUCCGGAAUAGAGUCAAAGUCCUACAUAAGACCUGCUCAAGGGAACUUAAUGCAUAGUGCAAGGCCUGCAAGCACCAGCCUCCACCUGCUCUCCAACCCCAUACUCGACACAGGCUUUCACCCUGGUGGGGUUUGGGGAACCAACAGAGCAAUGCUCGGGAUGGACAUGGAAUGGGUGCCGUACACCAACAAGGCUCCAGGAAGUCCAGGUUCUCUGGUCCCCGCAGUGCACCCCAACGACACCUCCGUCACCAAGGCAACCACCCAUGUGAUUGACAUGGAACUGGGGCCAUACUACAGGAGGUCUAAAGGAACUCCAGGCCCAUCGGGCGGCUCCGAGGCAAGCCCGGGUUCUCUGGUCCCCUCGGUGCAGCCCCGCCACACCUCCGUCACCAAGGCGACCACCAACGGGGUCGACAUGGACUGGGUGCCGUACAACAGGAAGACUACGGGGGGUACCCCGGGCUUCCCCCCGUCGGGCGGCUCCGAGGCAAACCCCGGUUCCCUGGUCCUCUCAGGGCAGCCCCGCCAUACCUCCGUCACCAAGGCGACCACCCGGACACCGUCCGCCAAGAGGCCCCUGGAGGAGAGCCUGAGUGAGGGCAAGCGCUCGGGUUCUGAGCCUACAGCCAAGCGGAGGCGGGCCGACCAGGGGUCUCUAGUCUCAGUGGUUCCGUGCGUUCACACUCCCAUCGCCAAGGCAACUGCCCGGACGGCAGAGCUCGAAGACCCACAUGCCCAACAUGGGCUUAGCGUAGACAACUGAGUGACUUUUCACCACCUGCCAAAAAGUGUAAAUAGUGUAGAUACAUGCAAACGACUAAAUAAAAAGGACUGUUUAAU
ensembl:lncRNA